AAUGUAUGACGCCGUUGACUUUUUAGCCAACGUUUGACAAUUCGUCUUAUUUAAAAAAUUUAUGUUAUUAUCAUUUAUUUUACCGUGACUUGAUUUAUCAUCAAAUGUUCUUUAAGCAUGAUAUAAAUAUUUUUAUAUUUACACAAAAAUUUUGAAUAAGACGAAUGGUCAAACGUUGGUUAAAAAGUCAACGGCGUCGUAUAUU
rfam:Oryza glumipatula chromosome 2, whole genome shotgun sequence.